UAUAACUAAAUGCAAAUUCAGAAAGAUAGAAACUACAAGGGUCUGUGAGACCUGCUGCAUGUACUGAAGGACGACAUUUAAAAGUUCGCGGCGUCAAAGAGAAAGAAUACAUUAAUCAAACGAGAAACGACAAUCGGAAGGGCAUCAGAGACGUAACUUUGUGCAGGGAAAUGGGUGUGUCCAAGCUACUGCGAAGUAACAGGACGUAGUAUUUGCAAACGAACAGGAGAAAACGUCCAGAUCAGUUACACGAAAUUCCGUUUGAUAUAUAAAUCAAACUUGUCACAGCUAAGAACUAGGAAAAUCCCACAACAGUAAGGACAGAGACGAAC